GACGAACGCUGGCGGCGUGCUUAACACAUGCAAGUCGAACGGAAAGGCCCUGCUUGCCGGGUACUCGAGUGGCGAACGGGUGAGUAGCACGUGGGUGAUCUGCCCUGCACUUCGGGAUAAGCCUGGGAAACUGGGUCUAAUACCGGAUAGGAGCCAUUUUUAGUGUGAUGGUUGGAAAGUUUUUUCGGUGUAGGAUGAGCUCGCGGCCUAUCAGCUUGUUGGUGGGGUAAUGGCCUACCAAGGCGGCGACGGGUAGCCGGCCUGAGAGGGUGGACGGCCACAUUGGGACUGAGAUACGGCCCAGACUCCUACGGGAGGCAGCAGUGGGGAAUAUUGCACAAUGGGCGCAAGCCUGAUGCAGCGACGCCGCGUGGGGGAUGACGGCCUUCGGGUUGUAAACGCCUUUCGCUAGGGACGAAGCUUUUUGUGACGGUACCUAGAUAAGAAGCACCGGCUAACUACGUG
rnacentral:rRNA from 1 species